UCCCGUUUAGCUCAGUUGGUAGAGCGCGUCACUAGUAUCUGCGGUCUUGCUGUGCUAUGACGAGGUCAGUCGUUCGAGUCGGCUAAUGGGAA